AUAACGCUGGCGGCGUGCCUAAUACAUGCAAGUCGAGCGGUAAGGUCUCACUCUGUACUUAAAGCAUUUGAGUAUGGUGUGAGAAUACACGAGCGGCGGACGGCUGAGUAAGGCGUAGGAACAUACCCCAAAGUGAGGGAUAAGCACCAGAAAUGGUGUCUAAUACCGCAUAUGGUCUUCGGAUUAAAGCUUCGGCGCUUUGGGAAUGGCCUGCGUAUGAUUAGUUUGUUGGUGAGGUAACGGCUCACCAAGGCGACGAUCAUUAGCUGGUCUGAGAGGAUGAUCAGCCAGACUGGGACUGAGAACGGCCCAGACUCCUACGGGAGGCAGCAGUAGGGAAUUUUCCACAAUGGGCGAAAGCCUGAUGGAGCAACGCCGCGUGCAGGAUGAAUGCCUUCGGGUUGUAAACUGCUUUUAUAUGUGACGAUUAUGACGGUAGCAUAUGAAUAAGGAUCGGCUAAUUCCGUGCCAGCAGCCGCGGUCAUACGGAAGAUCCAAGCGUUAUCCGGAAUUACUGGGCGUAAAGAGUUGCGUAGGUGGCAGAGUAAGCAAAUAGUGAAAUCGUAUGGCUCAACCAUAUACCCAUUAUUUGAACUGCUCAGCUAGAGGGCGAGAGAGGUAGCUGGAAUUCCUUGUGUAGGAGUGAAAUCCGUAGAUAUAAGGAGGAACACCGAUGGCGUAGGCAGGCUACUGGCUCGUCCCUGACACUAAGGCGCGAAAGCGUGGGGAGCGACCGGGAUUAGAUACCCCGUUAGUCCACGCCGUAAACGAUGGAUGCUAGCUGUUAUGCGUAUCGACCCGUGAAGUAGCGAAGCUAACGCGCUAAGCAUCCCGCCUGUGGAGUACGAGCGCAAGCUUAAAACAUAAAGGAAUUGACGGGGACCCGCACAAGCGGUGGAGCGUGUUCUUUAAUUCGAUGGUAAGCGAAGAACCUUACCAAGGUUUGACAUCCUGGGAAGGCUUCCGAAAGGAAACUGUGCCUUCGGGAACCCAGUGACAGGUGUUGCAUGGGCCGUCUUCAGCUCGUGUUGUGAGAUGUUUGGUUAAGUCCAUCAACGAGCGCAAACCUUGUGAGUAGUUGAAUUUUUCUACUCAGACUGCCUCGGUAACGGGGAGGAAGGAGGGGAUGAUGUCAGGUCUGUAUUACCCUUACACAUUGGGCUAGAAACACGCUACAAUGGCCGGUACAACGGGCUGCCAAGUCGCGAGACGGAGCAAAUCCCAUCAAAGCCGGUCUCAGUUCGGAUAGGAGGCUGA
rnacentral:rRNA from 1 species